CUUCAUGAGUAGCUAUGUAUGCAUAAGGAGGUUGAUUUUUCGAUGGACUGCUAGAGAAACUGAAAGUGGACCAAUGCAAGGUGUAUUUGAAGAAGAAUGGUCUAAGGUUAACUGGAAAUAAGGACACGCUUAUCCAGCAUAUAAAGGAGCAUCAGGAGAUUAUAAAUGGUGGAGGGGAGAAAAAAUACCUGCCUCAUAGCUUUGCUUUGAACUGUAAAGGUGA